GACAUGAUGGCUUUCUGUACUUCUUGC
rnacentral:piRNA from 1 species